GCUUCAUUUCAUGCUUCUGCCUUUAGGAAAAUUCCCAGGCUCUAACUCCAGGACCCAGUACAGACAAUCUGCCUUUUCCUAGAUGUUAGCCUUCUCAUUGCUCUGCCCUGGUGCCCAGACAACAACCCCUACAUGAGACUUUUUUAAGGACAGAUCAUUUUUGGCCCUGCUUCCCUGCUUAUUAACACAAACUGUGUUGAACCAAGGUGCUUUUUCAGCAGGAAGGGGCAAUCUGACAUCUUGUCUGAGAACAACCUGACUGGCCCUUGCUGGAUACUGGUUUGUAGAAGGCACUGAUGGAUGCUUCCCCCUGUGAAAGGAGGACCUCCCAUCAAUAACUUCUGGUCAGCAACUUCCAUGCCACACGGGCUCAUCUCAAAGGCUUAUGCCAUGAAGAGAAGAAGCACCACCAGUUUUGCAGAGUAUGGUCCUGGCAGGUGGAGAGAUGAAAGGCCUUUACAGGCAAUGAUCUACAGAGCAAAAGCAGAUCAUUACCUCAUGAAUGAGGUUCUGCUUUUUAAACAGUGA
rnacentral:lncRNA from 1 species